rnacentral:lncRNA from 1 species
AAAAAAAACAGAAAGUUAGGAGCUUUCUUGUGUAACUUUCGCUUUUGUUUUUUCAGGAGAAGAGGCAAAACUGCAAAUGAAGGUAGGCAAGAGGGAUCUAGGGCAACCCGCGGAUCGCUGCGGGCUUUCCCGCUUCAGGCCCAGUACCGAACAAAUCCGUACCGCAAGUCCUGCUAUUUUGCGGGUUCUGAAUUCCUCGGACCAAACCCGCCCCACAC